rnacentral:rRNA from 1 species
AGAGUUUGAUCAUGGCUCAGGAUGAACGCUAGCGGCAGGCCUAAUACAUGCAAGUCGAACGGUAAGGCCCUUUCGGGGGUACACGAGUGGCGGACGGGUGCGUAACGCGUAUGCAACAUGCCUCAAAGCGGGGGAUAUGCCGGGGAAACUCGGUGCAACACCCCAUAGUAUCAUGGAUCCGCAUGGUUUUAUGAUUAAAUCAGCGAUGAGCUUUGAGAUUGGCAUGCGUGGCAUUAGCUAGUUGGCGGGGUAAAGGCCCACCAAGGCUUCGAUGCCUAGCUGGUCUGAGAGGAUGACCAGCCACACUGGGACUGAGACACGGCCCAGACUCCUACGGGAGGCAGCAGUAGGGAAUAUUGGACAAUGGGGGGAACCCUGAUCCAGCCAUGCCGCGUGAGGGAAGAAGGUCCUCUGGACUGUAAACCUCUUUUGCCGGGGGACAAACCUGCGCUACACGCGCAGUUGAGGGUACCCGGAGAAUAAGCACCGGCUAACUCCGUGCCAGCAGCCGCGGUAAUACGGAGGGUGCAAGCGUUGUCCGGAUUCAUUGGGUUUAAAGGGUGCGUAGGCGGCCCUGUAAGUCAGCGGUGAAAUCCCACGGCUCAACCGUGGAACUGCCGUUGAUACUGCGGGGCUUGAGUUCGCCCGAGGUCGCUGGAAUGCGUGGUGUAGCGGUGAAAUGCAUAGAUAUCACGCAGAACACCGAUUGCGAAGGCAGGUGACUGGGGCGCGACUGACGCUGAGGCACGAAAGUGUGGGGAGCAAACAGGAUUAGAUACCCUGGUAGUCCACACCGUAAACGAUGGAUACUAGGUGUCCGGCCUUUCGGGGCUGGGUGCCCAAGGGAAACCGAUAAGUAUCCCACCUGGGGAGUACGUCCGCAAGG